rnacentral:tRNA from 1 species
CCAGGGCAUAGAUUGCCGGGGACAGGCGGUGGCCGCUGGGGGCGGCCGGGUCGUAUUCCAGCGCGGUGCGUUCAGACAUCGGGCUCCUUGGG